rnacentral:tRNA from 1 species
GUCGCUGUAGUGUAGCGGUCAGCACACAACAGUGCCAAUGUUGGGGCGCGGGUUCAAUUCCCGCCAGCGACU